rnacentral:misc_RNA from 1 species
AUGAUUGGCCUCAGGGCCUUAUCGAUUAUUAAUGAUCCUUCCGCAGGUUCACCUACGGAAGGAUCAUUAAUAAUCGAUAAGGCCUGAGGCAAUCAUAAUGAUCCUUCCGUAGGUUAACCUACGGAAGGAUCAUUCAUAAUAAGUGUUUUAUGGCACUUUUUAAAUCCAUAUCCACCUUGUGUGCAAUGUCAGUCGGUUUUCUUUUUCGUCAAGAAAAAAAGGAUCGACCAAACAUCAACUUAUUCUAAUUGAACUUUUGUCUGAAAACUAUUAUGAAUAAACUAAUUCAAAAUA